CGCGUAGGCGGCCGAUCAAGUCGGGCGUGAAAUUCCCGGGCUCAACCUGGGGGCUGCGCUUGAUACUGAUUGGCUUGAAUGCGGGAGAGGAUAGUGGAAUUCCCAGUGUAGAGGUGAAAUUCGUAGAUAUUGGGAAGAACACCGGUGGCGAAGGCGGCUAUCUGGCCCGUAAUUGACGCUGAGGCGCGAAAGCGUGGGAGCAAACA
rnacentral:rRNA from 1 species